UACGUAGGGUGCGAGCGUUGUCCGGAAUUAUUGGGCGUAAAGGGCUCGUAGGCGGUUUGUCGCGUCGGGAGUGAAAACCUCGGGCUUAACUCGGGGCUUGCUUUCGAUACGGGCAGACUGGAGGUAUGCAGGGGAGAACGGAAUUCCUGGUGUAGCGGUGAAAUGCGCAGAUAUCAGGAGGAACACCGGUGGCGAAGGCGGCAUCCUGGACCGGUAUUGACGCUGAGGAGCGAAAGCCAGGGGAGCAAACGGG
rnacentral:rRNA from 1 species